AAAUGCGAUAAGUAAUGUGAAUUGCAGAAUUCAGUGAAUCAUCGAAUCUUUGAACGCACCUUGCGCUCCUUGGUAUUCCUUGGAGCAUGCCUGUUUGAGUAUCAUGAAAUCUUCAAAGUAAAUCUUUUGUUAACUCAAUUGGUUUCUACUUUGGUAUUGGAGGUCUUUGCAGCUUCACACCUGCUCCUCUUUGUUCAUUAGCUGGAUCUCAGUGUUAUGCUUGGUUCCACUCGGCGUGAUAAGUUAUCUAUAGCUGAGGACACUGUAAAAGGUGGCCAAGGUAAAUGCAGAUGAACCGCUUCUAAUAGUCCAUUGACUUGGACAAUACUUUUAUGAUCUGAUCUCAAAUCAGGUAGGACUACCCGCUGAACUUAAGC
rnacentral:misc_RNA from 1 species